rnacentral:lncRNA from 1 species
GUGAUUCUCCUGCCUCAGCCUCCCAAGCAGGUGGGACUACAGAAGGAAUCAUUUCACCUGUCACAUAUCGUUGCAGAAAGGGCCUUUUGCCAGGACUGGAUGUAAACAAACCUCAGAGAGAUGUUACAGAAGCACAGAGAGGUUAAGUAACUUGCCCAGUGCUGCACAGAAACUAAGUGGUGGAGCUGGGAUCCGAACCCAAGCUAUCUGACUGUAUUGACAAACAAAAGAUGCAUCAAAACCCAAAAGGGCGAGCGAGGUAUUAUGGCCAUUACUGGGGGUAAGUGAGAACUUAAGCUUUCCUCAUUCCUCCCACACUACCCAAGAAAUCCUCCCUCUAGUCUCAGCAUAGCCCUGGGUUACAGAGUACAAUUUCAUGUACUCUUUCUCAGUCUCCUCCCUAUCACUUCAUUAAUCACCGUUUGAAUUCUGCUCUCCUUGAAAGCAGCUGGUCAUCUUGGCAAUCAAAAAUCCUGCCAGCUGGACACAGUUCAAGUUCAAUUGCAUCUCCCUGACCAGGUAGAACCCAUCCGUGUUGAAAUACUUGGCUGUUAACAGCCAAGGGGAUGAAGCCAACACAGGAAAAUGGAUUGCUCACAGAUUGGUUUUCUCUGCCUCCAGCUCAGGAUAAUAUAUGGGCAGUGACGUAAAACAAAUGGAGCCUUGGCUGGGUUACUUCACGUCCUUCUUGGGGGCCUCGCUGCUUCUACCAUGGGGCCUUGGAGCUGUUACUUCAUAACCUGCAGGCCAAAACCUGUAAACUGUGUAUUCGCAAAUUCCUAAAAUAUUGCCCAAUGGUCUUGAAAAAAUUAAUGUCCUGUGACAUGUUAGCAUAAUUUUCAUGAUUGAGGUGUUGAAUAUAAAUUCUGUAUAUAUUUAUUUAUACAGAAACCAACCCAGACUGGGGCAUAAUAUUUUUAAUUUUUCAUGUUUCUGGCAAAACAGUGACUGAGUUGCUUUUAUUUAUUUCACAGAGUUAGAAAUUUCUUUUCACUGGAGAGAUAAAUGGUAAGUUAUAAGGGACAAGAGGAGGACAAUCUUAUAAAAUACUCUCUGUACUUGAAUAAUCUCUGCUUUCAUUUCCUUUCUUUUUGUAUCUGGUGAUAAUUUUAAGAGUCCAAGUGUUUGAGAUUGGGUCCUAAGACCAUCACCCAGGCCCCCUUUUCAGAACUCCUGUAGUAUAUUCAGUCUGGACCCCUUAAAGUUUAAGACUUAAAUAAACAGUUACAUUCUAUGAGGCAGGGAGGGACGGUGAAAACUCAUUCAGCUCAAGUCCUGGAACGUGAGUUUCCACUGAGAGUGGAGAGGAUUUUAAAGUAGUUCUGUGGCUGUAAACACUUUUUGGGGUUCCUAGUCUCUUGAGAAUUUGCUAGAUGGUAUAUGUACACCCUCUCCAGAAAAGUGGACAUACAAUAUAAAAAUGGAUCCACAAUAUACAGUAUAUAAUUUUAUGUAUAUCAAUCAGCUAUUGCUGUGAUUAUGCCACAUAACAAAUCAUCCCUGAACUCAAUGGGUGACAACAACAAGCAUUUAUUUUUCUUGCUCAUGCAUGUAUAAAUUUUUCAGGUGUUUCUGUUCCAGAUUGUGAACUGGCCAUGCCUGGCUCUAGGCUUUGGGACAGUUCAACUCUGUUCCACAUGUCUGAUUCUGGAUCCCAUGCUGAAGAGGCAGCUGCUGUAUAAGGCAUGUUCUUUUUGUGAUGAUGGCAGAAGUUUGAGAGACAAGUCACACUAUGCAAACAUGGCUCAAGAUUCUAUCAUACAACAUCUGCUCACAUUCAACUGGCCAAAGUCAGUCAAGGUCAGUGGGGCAGAAAAGAAUAUACUGCCCGAAAAGGAAGGAAAAAGUGAGUGAACAUGUGUUGAACAAUACUCCAAUUUAUUAUCGGUAGGUCAAGGAAUCUUUGCAGCCUGAGUCUCGUAUGGUGAUUCUCAAACCUCAGCAAACAUAGAUAUCAUCUGGGGAAUCUGGUUCAAAAUGCAGACCUGAGACUAUUCUCCUGCAGAAUAUCUGAGUCAGUGGAUUUGGGUGGGGCCCAGGAAUCUGCACUUUAAACAGCCACUCCCUGGGGUUAUUCUGAUACUGAUGGUCCAGGGUCCACACUUUGAGAAUCACUGGUUUAAUGGUUCUGAGCAUGUGCUGAGGGCUCAGAGAUGCAAGUUCAAAUCCCAGCUCCACCCUAGCUUUGACCUUGGUAAGUAGCUUUGCUUUUCAGAGCCUCAGUUUUCUCCUCUAAAAAACUGAGUUGGCCGGGCGCUGUGGCUCAUGCCUGUAAUCCCAGCACUUUGGGAGGCUGAGGUGGGCGGAUCAUCUGAGGUUGUGAGUUUGAGACCAGCCUGACCAACAUGGAGAAACCCUGUCUCUACUAAAAAUACAAAAUUAGCCGGGCAUGGUGAUGCAUGCCUGUAGUCCCAGCUACUAGGGAGGCUGAGGCAGGAGAAUCACUUCAACCUGGGAGGCGGAGGUUGCGGUGAGCUGAGAUCACGCCAUUGCACUCCAGCCUGGGCAACAAGAGCGAAACUCUGUCUCAAAAAAAUAAAUAAAUAAAUAAAGUAAAAAUAAAAAAGUGAGUUAACAGUAAUACCUCUUUUAGGAUUUGUAUUAGUCAGGGUUCUCCAGAGGGACAUAAAGACACACCCAGGAAGAAUACUUUGCAUCCUUCAAUCCAAUCAAAUUUUGACACUCAAUAUUAACCAUCACAGGGUUGUAGAGAGGAUUCAGAAAUGGUGCUGGUAAAGCAAACAGCAAUAGUGCUUGGGACACAUGAAACCAAUAAAGGGUCAUCUGCCUGAAGCUGCUACCUCAGCAUCAUGCAAUAGCAUCAUCCUCAUCUCCUAUUGUCAUCAUUACCAUUGCCGUUGUCUUCAUAUGACAUCAUCACUAUUAGCACCGUUGUUUUGUUUCUUCUAGCUCCAGUAGUCUAUGAUUCCACACCACCUCACAUUGUUCUUUGACCAUAAAUCUGAUUUCCUCAGACUGCUAGAAUUCUUUUCUUGAAUCCCCAUGGUGGGGAAUGUUCUGCUUAUGGCGAGGUCCAAUGUCCAAGUUUAAUUUCACCCACCUCACUGGGCCAUGAUGUUCUGGAUGCUGCGUGGCAAGUCAGAGAUGUAUUUCCCCCCUUCAGAACCAGGUAGACCGCAGUUUCUGAAGGCUUAAGGAUUCAGAGUGGUUUAAGAGCAGUAAACCAUGGCCCAUCAUCAUUGCAUAAGGAAGCAAUGAAAGGUAAGUAUGCACCCUGAAGCUCACAGCUCACGCUUUAGUGUUUCCUUGUAUCCUUUUCAUUUCCUGACUCUCUUAUCCUCUUCCUUCUCUAUUUCUAUAUUUCUGUGUGUUUCCCUUGCUGCUUUUUUUCCCUUUCCCUCUACUCGUUUUUCUCUCUCUCUCUUUCUCAUUUCCUUUUCUCCCUUCUCUAUAUCUUUCUUGUUUUUCUGUAUGCCCUGCUCUCUUUAUACUCUCUGCCCCACCCCCUUCCUCAUUCAGUGGAAUGUGUGAUGCCUGGUACCUAGUGGAUGUUUGAGAAAUGUAUCCAUGAAGGAAGGAGUGAAUGAAAGAAAAAGCUUCCUGCAUCUGAAAUCCAGUUUCCUUUCCUUGCACUCCAGCAUGUCUCACUGCUGGACUCUUUCUCCUGGUGAAUGCAGUAUUGAUUAGCUGAGUGAACAGCAACAACAUCCCCUUCAAAAUCAGCCCAGGAUCUGAUCCAAUCUCUUGCCUUUUAGAAGUACCAUUUACUGGCCAGGCACGGUGGCUCACGCCUGUAAUCCCAGCACUUUGGGAGGCCGAGGUGG